UCAAACGGCGCAGACUGUAGCACGAGUGUUGGUUGAGCAUUGGUUUCAUUUGUUUGGGUUACCGAGGCAAAUUCAUUCCGAUCAGGGCCGAUGCUUUGAGAGUAAAAUUAUUCAAGAAUUGUGCAGAAUCUAUGGCAUUGUUAAAACUCGUACAACACCAUAUAGGCCUCAAGGCAAUGGUCAAUGUGAGAGAUUUAAUAGAACGAUGCAUGAUUUAUUGCGAACACUUCCUGUUGAAAAGAAAUAUCAUUGGCCAGAGUUUCUUUCACAAGUGGUGUUUGCUUACAACACUACAGAGCAUCAGUCUACAGGCUAUUCUCCUUAUGUUCUUAUGUUUGGGGAGGAACCCCAGCUACCAAUUGAUUUUAUUUUAGGCCAAGAUAAUCUGGAGCCUAGUGGAGAACCAUGGAUAGUUCAACAUAGAGAGAAUGUGGAACAAAUAUUCAACAGCGCUAGGGCCCGCUUGAAAGCCGCAGCAGCUCAACGUGCUCGAUCAAAUAAUGAGAAGGUGCAUCAUGACUCUUUGCAAGAGGGUCAGUUAGUGUAUCGAAGGUCCCAUAAGGUUAGAGGGAGAAAUAAGAUUCAGGAUGUGUGGGAUCCAACACUUUAUAGGGUUGUUCAGGGUUCAGAUGGUCCAGUGUAUUCUGUAUGUCCAGCUGAUGGUACUGGUUCAGUUAAAAGAAUACAUCGAUGUGAGUUGCGUCCUGUUCCUAGUUCUUGUGAUCCAGGGCUACCUCUGAAUAUGAGAGAUGAAGAACUUGAUUCAAACACAGAGUCUGUAUUGAUUAUAUCCGAGUCAAUGGAUGAGGUAGGGUUGCAGGACGAAAGUGUAGAAAGUUCUUUAUCUAGAUCUCCAAGUGUUGUAUUACCACCUCCAGAGUGUAAUCGUGGAUUAAGACGUACCCAGAGAUCUACUGCAGGAUGUCAUCGGAACCCAUAUCAUCUUCCCCAGUCUGUUUGUACUAAUGAUCAAAGAGCUCUCCCUGUGACAAGGCCAUCCAACAAUCCCCAAAGUUGUUUGUUUAGACCAUGGGUGUGAAACCUAGGUUUAUCGACGGGACGUCGUUUUCUUUUGAGGGGGUGGAUUGUAACGGGGUGAUAUGAGUUCGAGACUGCAUUUCCCAUAAGGCUAUGCAGUAGCGUAAUGUUUACGUCAGCACGCACUAUAAAUAGACGCACGGUAGCAUAGCGUGUCCUCCUCUUUCAUUCAUUGAUUCUGCCAACAAGCAAACAUUAUUAUAAGGUACUAUAAAUAGACUCAUAGUAGUGUGGAUUGCUUUCACCUCAUUUGUCGGGUCUACAAACAAGCUUGUCGAUCUUCAGAAAACCGUGCGUGUUAAUGGUGAUUGGCCUGACGACAGAGUCUUCAAAGAGUAUGAGUGAUGUAUGAGCGAAAUGCUUGUUAGAGUUUUCAUCCUUUCUGACUCUCGGCAGCACAGGGGCUUCCCUUGUGGGUGCGACUGGCACUGGUGCGGUGGUGGGAUAUUCUUGUGACGUGGCACCUUUUAUUGUGUGCUGUGAUUGCUGUGUUGAAGUGGGGUUGCAUUGCAGUGGUUGUAUAUCCUUCACAAUUCCAGUGGUGCCUUUUAAGGAGCCCUGUGAUUUUGUCAUGAGAGUAUAAAUAUUUUUCUACAUCAUGAGGUUUGCCAUAGUAUUUUAAAUAUUUUAUCAUGUUAUGUGGAAUUAGAAGUUUUGUAUUAUAAAUAAAACUGCUUGUAAAAGUGAUCAUUGCUAUUACCGUCUGUGGCAUUUAACUUAUAUAUUUAAAUACCGGCCAGGUCAGGUUG